CCUAACACAUGCAAGUCGAACGGCAGCACAGCAGAGCUUGCUCUGUGGGUGGCGAGUGGCGGACGGGUGAGGAAUACAUGGGAAUCUGCCCAGUCGUGGGGGAUAACGUAGGGAAACUUACGCUAAUACCGCAUGCGCCCUUCGGGGGAAAGCCGGGGACCUUCGGGCCUGGCGCGAUUGGAUGAGCCCAUGUCGGAUUAGCUAGUUGGUGGGGUAAAGGCCCACCAAGGCGACGAUCCGUAGCUGGUCUGAGAGGAUGAUCAACCACACUGGAACUGAGACACGGUCCAGACUCCUACGGGAGGCAGCAGUAGGGAAUAUUGGACAAUGGGCGCAAGCCUGAUCCAGCCAUGCCGCGUGUGUGAAGAAGGCCUUCGGGUUGUAAAGCACUUUUAUCCGGAAAGAAAGCGCUGGGUUAAUACCCUGGUGUCCUGACGGUACCGGAAGAAUAAGCACCGGCUAACUUCGUGCCAGCAGCCGCGGUAAUACGAAGGGUGCAAGCGUUACUCGGAAUUACUGGGCGUAAAGCGUGCGUAGGUGGUUUGUUAAGUCUGAUGUGAAAGCCCUGGGCUCAACCUGGGAAUUGCAUUGGAUACUGGCAGGCUAGAGUGCGGUAGAGGGUAGUGGAAUUCCCGGUGUAGCAGUGAAAUGCGUAGAGAUCGGGAGGAACAUCUGUGGCGAAGGCGACUACCUGGACCAGCACUGACACUGAGGCACGAAAGCGUGGGGAGCAAACAGGAUUAGAUACCCUGGUAGUCCACGCCCUAAACGAUGCGAACUGGAUGUUGGGCUCAACUUGGAGCUCAGUAUCGAAGCUAACGCGUUAAGUUCGCCGCCUGGGGAGUACGGUCGCAAGACUGAAACUCAAAGGAAUUGACGG
rnacentral:rRNA from 1 species